rnacentral:lncRNA from 1 species
CCUCUCCCGCCUCUGCACACUGCAAGAAGCCAUGGGAGCAGCACUGUCACAGCAGCUGGAGAGAGGUGGAAGGCAAAGCUGAAGCAGAACAGACACAUGAAGCAGGUACUGUGCUUGGGACAGCAGAUGAAGUUAGCGCCUUCAAUGUGGCCUCGGCAGUGCACGGAUUAGGCGCAGUGCUGGCUGGACGAGAGGCUCAGUGGCUGUGCAGGAGAGCGGGCAAGGCGAGGCAGGCGAGAAGCGCAAAGCCCUGCUGCAGGCGUGUGCGUGGCGCAGGCCCACCAUGCCGCAGAGGCAGCCAUGCAGCGGUAACCAUCAUCCACGGCGAACACAAUCCUUCCCAACGGCUCCAAGGGCAGAGCUGCCUUUGGUUUCCUCUUAGCCGCCACGCUACCCUUGCGCGUGUUUGAGAGGCAGCGCUUCACGCAGACCCGCUGCCUCCCCCCUCCGGCGACCGGGAGCCCGCGGACACCCGACGGGCGAGGAGCGGCGCCCGCAACAUGGCCGCCAGGGAGGAGCCCGCGCGCCUAGGGGGGCCGUUGGGGGCGGGGGCGGGGCCGGGCGGCGGCGGCGCCCUGAGGGGAGCGCGGCGGCGGCGCCAUGGGGGAGCGGGAUGGCGGUUGGGACAGCGAUAGCGACGAGACCGUCGUGGAGGGCUCAGUGAUAGAGAGCGAUGUGGAGGGAGAGGAGCUCCACGGCAGGAGGUUAUCUUUUGUUGAUAAGGACGUGUCUUUAACAACUGAAGUAAGAAUUGAUGAAGGAGCCCCCUCUCCAGAGAUCUGUUUUAUCCAUAAAGUUCAUGAUUAUCCAUACACUUUGAAGGAAGAAAAACAGAUAAAUCCAAUACCUCUGGAGACGAAUGCAUCUGACCAAUCUCGGUCUCUACUGCAGAGUUGGAUAAACUGUCCCUCAUUUUCUGAAAAUAUUUCUGAGUCUGUUUUUUCACUGGAUGCUGCAGUAGAGGGUCAGCAAAAUAAUUCUGUAGAUUUAGAUAUCAAGGUGGUUGGAUUUCUGAAAGAUUCAGAGGAAAAGGUUAGUGUAUUUUUACAACUGAAUGCAUGUAAAAUAUCAUUUGAUUGAAUUAGCAUUGGAGACAGAAUCCAUAAGGGCUAUGUCUUAAGCUAAUGGGAACCUUCCUAAGAAGCUGCAGAUGGCAGCAUGUUUCCCACCAAUGAAAAUUAUGGGAGAGACAUUAGGAAGGAUUUUGAGGAGGAACGGAGUAUCUGUAACUGCCUUCUGUUUGUAUAUGAUGACUCACUUGUGGCCAAAAAUAGGUAGUACCAGUCUCUGUUUCUUCUCUUUGCUAAUCCUAAAGCUGCUCACGAGUGAUGGGUUAUACUGCUGACCACAUAAAAGCGAUGGAAUAGCUUCAGAGCUGCCUUUCCCACCAAUAUGUCAGCUUCUUUCUCAGUGAUUUUGAAUCCAGGAUGAUUCCACCACAGUGUAAGCCUAUCUAAUUGGCUGUUGCGUGGUAUGGCCCAUUUUCCUUGCCAUGUGUUUCUGCUGCUUCCUUUGGGUUUGUUUGAGGCCAAGUGUGAAGCAGGUUUGGGGGAACUGAUCAUCAGACACUGUUCACCUUUUUUAGUAGGUUAGUUUUCUGCCAGAUUAUUUUUUCAAGCCAGUUUACCAGAUGAUUAGGUAACUGCCAGUACAGUGCAAGAAAGGAUGUGGAGAUGCAUAGUUAAAGGCAAAUGGAAGGAUGCAACUAUAGCAAGACUAAUUUACAUAAGCUUAAUACAACCUGAAUAUUAUUAAUAUAACUCACAAAGAAUUGUUUUAGUAAUUAUCUGCUUGCACACAUUGCCUUUGUACAUAAAACAAAGAAAACCUUGGAGAGAGGGAAUCCCCCACAGCUUUCAGAAAAGGUAGUAACAAAAAAAUCAACAAUGUAUCAAUAAGUAAAACAUCCAACCCAGAAAUAUCUUGAGCAGGAGCUGAAGUUUCUGCAACCGCUGACAUAAACAUCCAAGCACCAAAUGUUCCUUUGAUGCUCCGCUUCCCCUUUCCCCUAUUCCCUUCCAACACUCAUGGGUUGAAGUUAGUGAAGUCCAAGCACCAGAGAGGGACUUGAACAGAUCUA